UUAUUGCUCUUAUCUUUUAAUAUGCAUGAUAAUGAGUAGCUUUGUCCUUUUUUUUGUGUCCUUUUCUCUCUAUCUUGCCAUCUGUAGGCAUGUAUAGUAGACACAUUAAUUCAUUAAGCUUAAGUGGCUAUUGUGUUCUCCUAUUAUGUUUAUUUUAUUUUAUUUUUUAUUCUUCAAAUUUGUUGAUGUCCAGUAUGCCUCUAUGUGAUUCCCUUUGGUAGGAUUGUUUGUUAGUAUACAUCUUUCUUGAGUCAAAAUAUGCAUUUUGCAUUAAAUUAGUGUGUUCUUCUUGCAUUUUUGUUAAUUGGAUUAUAUAUUAACUCCUUUCCUUUACCUUAUUGCAUGUGAAAUAUGUUCGAGUCCUCAUAGGCUUCCACCCUCCCGUUGCAUUUCGAUGAUUGGGCCAUAGGGGCCCGAUUUUUCUUUUCUUUAAGUUAGCCGGGUCAUCCGAAUAGGGCUGAACAGGGGCUGGAAAUUGAAAACAAGUCUCAGAAAGCUGAAAAAGGCUGAGAUACAGCCUGUAUACAUUGAUAUAUAUCGGUAUACACUCAUAUAACAGGUCGAAAAGUGUGAAAAUACAGGUCUGAGGCGAAAUACAGGUGUUUGAAAGUAGGGGAUACACGGAAAGAGCUGAUAUAUAUGCCGAUAUACACUGAUAUACAGUCGAUAUAUACAAAAACGGGAAUCUGGUUGAAGACAAAGUUUAUAGCAAAAUUGGCCCAAGAAGGGGCCCAAUUUCAUUAUCUCGUU
rnacentral:lncRNA from 1 species